ensembl:lncRNA
GGGACUGUGAUUAACAACGUCAGACCGAGAACAAACAGAAGGUGUAAAAAUAGGCAUCUGAGGAGCUGACACAACGGACUAUUUUUCAUCUGUAAGGCCAGAGGAGAAUGGCUUGUUAAAUUGUGUGCUCGGAGCACUUCAUCAGAUGCCGUGUGGAAGAACAAAAAAAAAAAAAAAAUCCCAUUUCCCAUCUGGGUCUGAGUGUACGAAGGAACUGCACAUGCCUUAUUAAUAUAAAUCAUACUAGGAGCAUAAUUCCCAUUAGCAUUGAAGAGCCGUUUUUCAAUGAAAGACUCUUGCACCAGGAACACCUAAGGGGAAAUAACAAUGUUUGCUUCAUUUGAAGAGAAUAGUAAAAUACAGCCUGGGGACUGAGGAGGCAGAGAGCUGUUCCUUCUCUCCAACGCUACAGGUUUGGGGUUUCGAUGCAACUAUCAUGAGCCACCGCCUUCCCCACCCCCUCCCAGAAGCUGUAUCCACAUGUGGUGGGGAGAAGAGGUGGGCAUCCAGAUGUGCCAGUCCAAGGAGUGGGACCAUGGGCACGUGUUGGCCCCCGGCCUCUGCAUUGCCCCAUGGGGAUGCGUUCCCUUUCCCUCAGUCCCAGCUCUCAAGGAAAGGAAGCUCUGGCCUUGAAACAUUAGACAACAUUUCCACCUCUGGUUAAGCAGGUAUGUUUAUUUUUAAUUUUUAUGAAAUCUCGGGCAGCUGCUUACUCAACGUUAUUUUUAGAGUGUGAGAAGAGAGCUCCACGUUUGCGUGAACUCCUGCGAUGUGUGUUGGGUCACUGGGAUGUGGGACACGGCACAGCCCUGCUGCCUCAACUCUGCAUCUGCGCCCUGUGCCCCUCAAACCCACUCCGUGCAAUGGGGUGGGCCCAUGAGGUCCUUCUUGUUCCCCCACCUGAAAAUCAUAUAAUCAUUAAGGUUCAAAAGACGAAUAAGAUCAUCUAGUCUAACUGUCAACCCAUGCCUGUGACCUCUCUAGGCCAUGUCCAUCGGUGCCACAUCUCCAUGGUUCUUGAACCCCUCCAGGGAUGGUGACUCCACCACCGCCCUGGGCAGCUUCACCGCUCUUCCUGAGAAGAAAUUUCUCCUAAUAUCCAACCAAAAAUGGUGGAACCCAUGGAAAUGGCUAAGAAUGAAGGGGAAGUUGGGGAGCUGGGUAAUGUCCAGCAUCCGAUGGGUGCGCAAAGCACAGGGAGGUGUUCCAAGAGGAGGAAACCUGGGACAGCUUCAGAGCACGGAAGGGAAAAGCCCUGUGGCUGAUCCCAGCCCAGCAGCCGACCCUGAGGUUUGAUGGUUUUGCAGAUUUUAUGUUUUUUGCACUAGAGGGUGCUGCUCUGUUAGCAUUCGGGAACGCUUGCAGCACCGUAUUGCUUUCACCGCUGUGUUGUGUGGGGUUGGGCUGAGGGGAUGCGUGUUGGUGCUCACAGCAGCACUCAGACAGGCCUGGGGUGAAGGAGGGCUGCUGAGCUGGGAAAGAAGAACUUCUUGGCGUGGAAAAGUUCUAUACAUCUAGAGUCAAGGCUCCAGGAUGAAUGAGUGCCUUGGGGAGCUGAGAAAUGAGACAACGCAGUGAGAAGAGGACAGUGAGUGCAGACACUGCCAGUACCGAACCUUUGGAAUUCACUGCUGCACGACAGAUAGCCAACGACUCGUGGUGAUGUGCUCUAGCAGAAGGAAAAUCAAAGUGCCCUUUUAUAACUGUUCAGAUAUAAAGUGAAGGGCAUCCAGCCCCCUGACACCAGCAUGGAGAAUGAUGUGUGGGAGGGACUGUGGGAAAUGACCUCACCAUGCACGGCCAUGCCCACUGGCCGUGUUUCCAUCACACAGGGCACAGAGCAAGUGGGCAGUGCCCAGGGAGAGGACACAUCUCUUUUGGGCAGAUGGGUCCCAUUAGGGUUCUUUAAAGGCAGCAAUGGCACCAUUCUGCAGAGGUGUGCUCCUAGCAAGGAAGGCACUGUUUUAAAGCCCACCAGGCUGGUGCUCUCUGUGUUUAAGUCCACUCAGAGCAUGGAAGGAGGGCUGGAAGAAAACCAAUAAUUACUCUCAGAUAAAAUUAGUUUUACAAAGUGAUUUUCUUCUAGAAUCUUGGAUUCACACACGGGCUGCCUGUACUGUAGAUACACCUGCAUUCUGAUAGCUCUAUUUCCAGUGUUCCUGCAUUUCUGACUGCUGUUGGCAAGAAGCUGUAUAUUGUUUCUCACACAGUUUUCUUAUGCAGUCUUUAGUGUCUCCUCCAAUCCUGGAUGUCCUUUAAACAUUGCACCUUUAAGGUACUGCUACUGCAGGGGCCACGGCAGGAGGCAUUACUGCACAAACCAGAUGAGUAUGGGGGAUUUAGGUGGAGUUACUCCAAUUAAACCACUGAAGAAUGCCCUGCUCUAGGAAUGGCAACUGCCCUAUUAAAGCAAGCUGGGUGUGUGCAUCCCGGCAGCUGUGCAGGAGCACAGCACAGUGGGGCAGCACUGCUGCCGUGUCUCCUUGCAUCAGCUGCUGGGGCUAAUUGCAGGGGCUCUCUGCAGACCUCUCAGCUUGUGUGGCCUGGAAAAUCCCAGGGACAAUCUUCAGGCAGUGCACAGGUGGGGUAACCCAUGGAGCCUGCAAUGCCAAAGCAGAGAGUUUGGGGAAUGGUGGUAGAAAAGCUUUUCUUCCAGGUGGAGUUAAUCCUCUGCAUGCUGACACCCCUGGGGGAGGGAGCAGGCAGGCAGGGUUGGAGAAAAUUUGGGAGACUGCUGUUUCAACUUUGAGCAGCUUAAACACAAACCCUACAGCACCAAGGGAUCACAGCUCCAAAUGCCUGAAAAUGGGCUUCCCAAAGGCUGGCACACAGAGCAGAACUGCCUGACCCAACUGCAAGGAAACUCUGAGGAAGGGACCAUCUUGACCCGGCUGUCCCGCAGCAGGCAGCUUCCUUUCCCAGGGCUGUGGGGAUGCUAGUUAUUACCCUGGUGUUUUUAAAAAAUAGGAUUGAUGUAGCUGCAAGUUUUCAUGAAAAAUAAAGAGAAAUAAAGGAAUGAAGAACGAAAGAGAAGAUAGAAAAAGGGGAAGAAAGGAAGGAAGGAAGAAAAGAAAGAAAAAGAAAUGAAGAAAGAAACGAAACAAAUGAAGAAAGAAGGAAAAAAAGGAAAGGAGGGAAGGGAAAGGAAGGGAAAGAAAGAAAUGAAGAAAGGAAAGAAAAAGAAAGGAAGGAAAGAAAGAAAAAGAAAUGAAGAAAGAAGAGAAAGAAAUGAAAAGUGAAAAGAAAGAAGUGAAAAAGAAAUUUAAAAAAAUGAAGAAAAGGACAGGAGAAAGAAGGAAGGAAGGGAGGAAGAAGAAGGGAAGAAAGGAAGGAAGGAAGUAUGAAAGGAAGAAACAAAGGAAGAAAAAAAUAGGAAAUAAAGUAGGAAAGAAAGGAAGAGGGAAAGAAAGUAAGGAAGAAGGGAAGAAGGAAAAAGAAAGAAAAGAAAGAAGGGAAAAAAAGAAAGAAAGAAGAAGGGAAGAAAGAAAGAAGGAGUGCGAAGGGCCGUGGCACAGCGGUGCCGUCGCGGAGCGGCGCGGAGCAGCGCGCAGCCCCAGCGCUGUGCCCUCGGCAGGUGGCGGCAGAGCGCGGCCGUGGGCCGGGGGGGGCCGGGGGUGUUCGGGCUGCGCUGCACCAGGGGGAUCCGAGGGGCCGUGCGAAGCGAUUGAAAAAUGAAGUCUUCUAGAGAAAGCAGGAGUUUUGAUUUGCAAUACACAAGGGCGGAUUUGCGUCACCCAAGCAACUUGCUGGUCGAGAUAAAGUUGCACAAAUAUUGAAAAGGGAAGUGCUCGCGCUCAUUAUGAAGUUUUUCUCCGGAAGAAAUAAGGAUUUCUGCUGUAUCCUAAAAUACUGAAGCCGCUUCUAUUUUAGGACAAAUCUCGCAGGCACAUCCGCUCAUUUAGUCCGAGUUGGAACCUCUCGAAAAAACAGGAGAUGACCCGGGCUGCAGCCGAGCCCCGCGCUUCCUGCAGCCUUCGGGCACCGCUGCGCACGGGC